rnacentral:rRNA from 1 species
UGCGCAGGCGGUUUUGUAAGCCAGAUGUGAAAUCCCCGGGCUUAACCUGGGAACUGCAUUUGGGACUGCAAGGCUGGAGUACGGCAGAGGAAGGUGGAAUUCCACGUGUAGCAGUGAAAUGCGUAGAGAUGUGGAGGAACACCGAUGGCGAAGGCAGCCUCCUGGGCUAGUACUGACGCUCAUGCACGAAAGCGUGGGAGCAAACAGGAUUAGAUACCCUGGUAGUCCACGCCCUAAACGAUGACGACUAGUUGUUGGGGAUUUAACAUCCUUAGUAACGCAGCUAACGCGUGAAGUCGUCCGCCUGGGGAGUACGGUCGCAAGAUUAAA